UACGUAGGGUGCAAGCGUUGUCCGGAAUUAUUGGGCGUAAAGAGCUCGUAGGCGGUCUGUCGCGUCUGCUGUGAAAACUCGGGGCUUAACCCCGGGCCUGCAGUGGGUACGGGCAGACUAGAGGUAUUCAGGGGAGAACGGAAUUCCUGGUGUAGCGGUGAAAUGCGCAGAUAUCAGGAGGAACACCGGUGGCGAAGGCGGGUCUCUGGGAAGUAACUGACGCUGAGAAGCGAAAGCGUGGGGAGCGAACAGG
rnacentral:rRNA from 1 species